CAUAAUUCUAGAACCCUCAUCUGCUUUCAUAAACCUAUUUUCAUCUCCAUACUUUGAACUACUACUCCUCUAUGAGUUACAUUUAUCUUCUAGAUGGGUCUUUCUAUUUCCGGUAACCUUUUCACUUAAUUUUUACUUUAAUCUUCUCCCAUUAUUGCUUGUCUGAAUCACUUAUUUGCCCUUGAUGUUGCUUAUUGUGCUUCCUAAAGAAAUGUCUUAUGUGUAAAUUCAAAGGCAACCCAAAGCCACCUACUGCUCUACCAUCGUUCUACCCCUUCAAUAGAGAUUGAGUAUACGCCGGAGCUUGCGGAUGUAUCGAAACCGCAGAUGUAUCGGAGCCGCUUCUUCUUUUGUUUAAUAUGAAGAAAUCUCAUCCAUUAAGAUCGAGUCUGGUAAAUGGUUAGAUCAUUUAUUUGUUAAACAUUUUCGGUUGUGACAAAAUUUUCAAGGGCAAAUCCCCGUUUCACCGGCGUCGUUAGCACUCAAUCCAAGCGGCCAUCGUCGGCGGCGGCGGCGGCAAUAAGCGGCAAUAAGCGGCCAUCGUCGGCACCCAGACUCCUCUCCAUCUCCGAUUGACGGAGCCACAGCCUAAGUACUCAGCCUAUCGCGAAUCAAGUUUUGGACAUGCCAUAUUGGAGAUUAAGAAUCGAACUCACGCCUAUUACAGUUGGCAUCGUAAUCAGGAUGGUUUUUCUGCAAAAGCUGAUAGCUUCUUGUUUUUCAAUCGUUAUUGGCACCCAAUUGAUGAAUCUUAUUAAACGAUCAUUGGUUUAAAUGUCCUUCUUUCUUCUAUGUGUUUAGACAUAAAUAAAUUGGAUGUCAUCCUUGUAACAUUCCAGCCUCUUUAGCGGUUUCUGGAAUAUAUGUGUCUAUUGUUAGUGGAGAUGGAUGAUGUCAAACAUAUUGUUAUCUGUGUGGUUACUUUUCUAUGAGAUAAAAUCGCUUAAUGUCAGUAAACUUUA